CCCUCUAAAUGGCCGAUCCUGAUCGGGACAGCGCUGCCCGGGCUGCGGACAAGGGCACUGAAGGGACACACCCUGGGGAAAAGGGCCUUCGCUUCACCCAGGACUUGCCACUCGGCAGAGGAAGAUGAAGGCCGCAGUGCUCGGCGUGGCCCUGCUCUUCACCAUCCUGCUGUGCACCCCAGAAGAUGCUCAGGCAAUAUUUGAAGCAAGUGGAAGUUAUUGCGUGAACAGAAGUCUCAGGCUCGGGCGAGUGAAGAGGGCUGAGCCCCCUGUGGCUGACAAGCAGGUGGAGCUUGUGCGCCAGAAACUUGUGGCUGCAGACGUUGAUGUCUAGGACUGGAGCCAGUGGUGACACCCGUGUCCUGUCCCCCUGCUGCAGCAUGCGGAGAUGAUUGUCCCUCGAUGAGCCCACCUGAUCCCCUGGGAGCCCUGGGCCCUUUCCCUCUCACAAUCAAUAAACCCCUUCAGUAAAGGAA